UACUCAUGUGUGGAUAUCGGUACUCGUCAGUUGAUAUCAAUACUCAUGUUUAUCGAUACAUGUGUUGAUAUCGAUACUCAUGUGUGGAUAUCGGUACUCGUCAGUUGAUAUUGAUACUCGUGUGGAUAUCGAUACUCGUCAGUUGAUAUCGAUACUCGUCAGUUCAUAUCGAUACUCGUCAGUUGAUAUCAAUACUCAUGUGUGGAUAUCGGUACUCGUCAGUUGAUAUCGAUACUUGUCAGUUGAUAUAGAUACUCGUCAGUUGAUAUCGAUACUCAUGUGUGGAUAUCGAUACUCAUGUGUGGAUAUCGAUACUCGUCAGUUGAUAUCGAUACUCAUGUGUGGAUAUCGAUACUCGUCAGUUCAUAUCGAUACUCGUCAGUUGAUAUCAAUACUCAUGUGUGGAUAUCGAUACUCGUCAGUUCAUAUCGAUACUCAUGUGUGGAUAUCGGUACUCGUCAGUUCAUAUCGAUACUCAUGUGUGGAUAUCGGUACUCGUCAGUUGAUAUCGAUACUCGUCAGUUGAUAUCAAUACUCAUGUGUGGAUAUCGGUACUCGUCAGUUGAUAUCGAUACUCGUCAGUUGAUAUCAAUACUCAUGUGUGGAUAUCGGUACUCGUCAGUUGAUAUCAAUACUCGUCAGUUGAUAUCAAUACUCAUGUGUGGAUAUCGGUACUCGUCAGUUGAUGUCGAUACUCGUCAGUUGUUGUUUUUUUGCCAAUAAAAACGACCACGCUUUAAAAAGUGUAAAUGAGCAGCUUUUACAAAACCACAGCUUUGUUGAUUCAGUGAAGGACUUUCACAGAAAAAUCACCAACAUGGCAAAUAUAAUAAUGUGUAUUAUACUUAUAAAUCUAUAAUAAAAUCAAUUCUGUUUACGUUACAAUUUGUAUUUGUUGCAGGAUCAGAUAGAAUUCAUUGGGGUUUUUUUUCCCUCUGAUAUCCGUUCCAUUGUUUUGGUUUAGUUUUUUUUGUUUGUUUGUUUGUUUUGGUAUCCUGGGUAUCGGAUCGGUGCCAUCUGCAGUUCAGCGACAUUAUGGGAAAGUCCCCGUGAAGCGCCUUGAAACACACAGCAUGAUUCGACGUGUUGACGUAAUUCCCACCGAAACAGGAAGUCAGGGCAGGACCUAUCGAGUGGCUCCUCCCCCCUUUUUAAGGGAGGUAGAGAAAGACUGUAGAUUUAGAAUGUAUAUAUUUUCUAAAUGUGAACGUCGUCAUUGUUUCGCCGCUUACAGACAGCCUUAAGGUCGAACAUCCUCACGCUAAAAGGCCGAAAAAUCUCGAUUUUGAUUUCACGGGGACUUUAAACCCGCCAUUUCUUUGGUUUUCGGAUGGAAUUGAGGUUGUUAUAAUUGACAUUUCGUGCUCAUCAAUAUUCCAAGCGCAAGGCUGCAAUAGAGGAGAGCGCGACACGGAAUGAAAGACGGAGGAAAAAAUAGUAAAGCACACAAAGAGCGGGAAAAAAAAUAAACGACAGUAAGAGCACCGACAACAACUUUCUACCGCGGGAGAUUGAAAAGAAAAUGAAAGACAAAUACACGCUGCGGGCGUUAAUAAUUAAAGACGAGUUGAAUUAAGGAUGAUAUUAAGGAUAUGAAGUGGAAGAAGCAUGACCAGGGAGUCCUGAAAUGAUUUUUAUUCCAUUUCAUAACAACGGAUACUGUUUGUAUGCUAAUGCUGCAUGUUAGCGUGGAGGAAACUUUGGAGACAUACCAAUAUAUGACAAAAAAAGAUUCAUAAUCAAUGAAUUCAAAUCAUAAUCAGUGCUCAGUCGUAAGGUUUAUUCUAUUGUGAUGAGGUCAUAUUGGCGCUCUGGCUUCUUAAAUACCAGAGUGUAAUGUAUAAAGGAUUCUCAGCACAUGUGUAUGUAUGAGAUCUGUAACUUUAUUGUAGCUAUUGAGCGUUUGCUCUGCACAGCUACUGGUAAAUAAAUUCUCUCAAACUCAACUCUCUCUCUCUCUCUCUCUCUCUCUAUAUAUAUAUAUAUAUAUUAUAAUAUCCUCAUAUGAGGACAGUUUCGUAUUACUCCGUUCCCAAACCUCUUCCUGUUUGAA
ensembl:lncRNA